UACGUAGGGUGCGAGCGUUAAUCGGAAUUACUGGGCGUAAAGCGUGCGCAGGCGGCUCACUAAGACAGAUGUGAAAUCCCCGGGCUUAACCUGGGAACUGCGUUUGUGACUGGUGGGCUUGAGUGCGGCAGAGGGGGGUGGAAUUCCACGUGUAGCAGUGAAAUGCGUAGAGAUGUGGAGGAACACCGAUGGCGAAGGCAGCCCCCUGGGUCGACACUGACGCUCAUGCACGAAAGCGUGGGGAGCAAAC
rnacentral:rRNA from 1 species